rnacentral:lncRNA from 1 species
CCAGGUCCUGCAGAGCCUGGAGGGGAUCCCGCUGCCAACAGGUGAGAACAGACAGGUGAGAGGGGACAGGUGAGAGGGGACAGGUGAGGACAGGUGAGGACAGGUGAGAACAGGUGAGACAUGGACAGGUGAGACAGGUGAGAGGGGACAGGUGAGACAUGGACAGGUGAGGGGACAGGUGAGAACAGGUGAGGGGACAGGGACAGGUGAGGGGACAGGUGAGAAUGGACAGGUGAGAACAGGUGAGAACAGACAGGUGAGACAUGGACAGGUGAGACAGGUGAGAACGGACAGGUGAGACAGGUGAGGGGACAGGUGAGACAUGGACAGGUGAGACAGGUGAGAACAGACAGGUGAGAACAGGUGAGACAUGGACAGGUGAGGGGACAGGUGAGAACAGACAGGUGAGACAUGGACAGGUGAGACACGGACAGGUGAGGGGACAGGUGAGACAGGUGAGACAUGGACAGGUGAGACAUGGACAGGUGAGACAUGGACAGGUGAGAAUGGACAGGUGAGAGGGGACAGGUGAGACAGGUGAGGACAGACAGGUGAGAACAGGUGAGACAUGGACAGGUGAGGGACAGGUGGGACAGGGACAGGUGAGAGGGGACAGGGACAGAUGGACACAGUGACAAUGCCAAGGUGACAAUGACAGAGGUGACAGUGACAGAGGUGACAAAGGUGACAGUUCCAGCUCACCACGUCCACCUGCAGCAGCAGCACCUGGAUGGGGACAGGUGAGGGACAGGUGGGACAGGGACAGGUGAGGGGACAGGUGGGACAGGGACAGGUGCGAGGGGACAGGGACACAGUGACACGGUGACAAUGCCAAGGUGACAAUGCCAAGGUGACAGAGGUGACAGUGACAGAGGUGACAGAGGUGACAGUGCCAGCUCACCACGUCCACCUGCAGCAGCAGCACCUGGAGGCCGAAGCUCCGCCCCAGA